AUGUACCACGCGUACACUCCUGUUCUGAGCGCGCCGUCCGCGCCCACCUGACAGCUGCUCGCUACGUUUUGUUAGCC
rfam:Xanthomonas oryzae pv. oryzae KACC10331, complete genome.